rnacentral:lncRNA from 1 species
GUUCUGUUGAGUUUCACGCUUCUCUUCUCGCUGGUGGUGACCUUCCUCUGCUCCAUCGUCUUCCUCGGAAAGCCUCAAGACUGGAGCUGUAUGACCAGCAAUGUAGCCCUGGCUCUGGGUUUCGCUCUCUGCCUCUCCUCCAUCAUGGGUAAGGCAGCAGUGUUGAUGCUGAGAGCUCAGGCUUUAAAAGCGGCCAGAGCCAAAGCCAAAGCAGCUGCCAAGGCUGCAAAAGCAGCAGCUGAAGCAGCAGCAAACAGCGGCAAUCCUGAUGUCAUUGUAACCAGCACCAAUAACAACGACACCAGUGCCAGUGCUAACCCUGAUGUUGACAUUCUCACCUGUGCCCACCAGAGGGCGAUAGCUGCUGUGGGAACAUUGAUACAGGCUAUAGCAUGCACAGUGUGGCUCAUCAUUGUCCCUCCACACCCAGUCAAAAACAC